rnacentral:rRNA from 1 species
GGUGGAAUCUUCCGCAAUGGGCGAAAGCCUGACGGAGCCAGACCGCGUGAGGGAAGAAGGUUCUUGGAUUGUAAACCUCUUUUCUCAGGGAAGAAAAAAAUGACGGUACCUGAGGAAUCAGCAUCGGCUAACUCCGUGCCAGCAGCCGCGGUAAGACGGAGGAUGCAAGCGUUAUCCGGAAUUAUUGGGCGUAAAGCGUCCGCAGGUGGCAAUUAAAGUCCGCUGUCAAAGACCGAAGCUCAACUUCGGAAAGGCAGUGGAAACUAAAUAGCUAGAGUAUGGUAGGGGUAGAGGGAAUUCCCAGUGUAGCGGUGAAAUGCGUAGAGAUUGGGAAGAACACCGGUGGCGAAGGCGCUCUACUGGACCAAAACUGACACUCAGAGGACGAAAGCUAGGGUAGCGAAAGGGAUUAGAUACCCCUGUAGUCUUAGCUGUAAACGAUGGAUACUAGGCGUUGCUCGUAUCGACCCGAGCAGUGCCGAAGCUAACGCGUUAAGUAU